ensembl:lncRNA
AUGGCGCUGCUCCGCGGCGCCAGCCCCGCCCCCAGGGCCGGCCCCGGCCCCGCGAUUGGCUCCGCUCGUUCGUGUCCGCCAAUGGCAGCCUGCGCUGCCCGUGACGUCACCGCGGCCCGGCGGCGCACGGAAGUGAACGUGCCCGCGGGAGCGCUGCGGGAGAGAAUUGCUGGGGAUCCCAGCAGACCCUGCCGGACCCCCUGGGACCACUCUGCAGGAAUGAAGAAGAAGAAGGAAUAUGCAUGUGCCCUGGAAUCCAGGUUGACGAUAGACCACCAGCUCUACCGCAGAGUUGAAACUCUGGAAAAAGAUUUCCAAAAAGGUCUGGACAACAUAAACCAUGAGCUUAAGUAUGUCAGAGCAGAGCUGCAGAACAACCAAGGAAAGAACGAGGAGGAUAUUCCAUUGAUCCCAGAAACAUUGUUGAAGAAGAACAAGCAAGAGUUAUCAGAAAAAAUCAAGACUGUGAAAGAUGAUGUAGAGCAAAGUAAGGAGGACAUAAAUCAUAAGCUUCAGAAACUCAGAGAUGAGCUGGAGGAGGAGAACCAAGGAAUGAAGAAGGAGAAAGAGCGUGCAUGGGCCCUGGAAUCCAGGUUGAAGAGGAAAAUGCGGCAGUUUUCCAGAAGAACCGAAACUCUGCAAGAAGAUGUAGAGGAAUGGCCAGAGACCAUAAUGCUUGAGCUUCAGGUUCGCGGAGGAGUGCUGAAGAACAUGAAAGGAAUGAAGAAGGAGGAUAUUGCAUCGGCCCUGGAAACAUUGUUGAAGAAGAAUAAGCAAGAGUUCUCCCAAAAAAUUGAGACUCUGAAAGAAGAUGUAGAGGAUUGUAUGGAGGCCAUAAAUCAUGACCUUCACAUUCUCAGAGAUGAUCUGGAGGAGAAGAAACAAGGAAAGAACGAGGAGGAUAUUCCAUUGAUCCCAGAAACAUUGUUGAAGAAGAACAAGCAAGAGUUAUCAGAAAAAAUUGAGACUCUGAAAGAAGAUGUAGAAGAUUGUAUGGAGGCCAUAAAUCAUGAGCUUCAGAACAUCAGAGAUGAGCUGGAGGAGGAGAACCAAGGAAUGAAGAAGGAGAAGGAGCGUGCAUGGGCCCUGGAAUCCAGGUUGAAGAGGAAAAUGCGGCAGUUUUCCAGAAGAACCGAAACUCUGCAAGAAGAUGUAGAGGAAUGGCCAGAGACCAUAAUGCUUGAGCUUCAGGUUCGCGGAGGAGUGCUGAAGAACAUGAAAGGAAUGAAGAAGGAAGAUAUUGCAUUAGCCCUGGAAAACAUGUUAAAGAAGGGCAAGCGAGAAUUCUCCCAAAAAAUUGAGACUCUGAAAGAAGAUGUAGAGGAUUGUAUGGAGGCCAUAAAUCAUGAGCUUCACAUUCUCAGAGAUGAUCUGGAGGAGAAGAAACAAGGAAAGAUGGAGGGGGAGUGAAUAAGCCCUUGCGGGAACAGAGGACUUCUGGACAGCAAUUCCAUAUGACUAUGCAGAAGCCGAUUUAUUGUUUGCUUUUAAUUGUAUUUAUACAUUCUAAAACUACUUUUCACAUGAUCACACCUAUUUUGAUUGGUGCCUCUAUCUUUUCCACAUGCUGUGCACAAGUGUUACAGGUAAAAUGAUUGGUUGAAAUCCAGAGCAUCAAUGCCCAGCUUUAUCUUGGCUCUUCUAUUUUUUGUAUUCUGUUUUUCAGCUUCUUCUCUUCCAGUUUAGCACAAUUUAUGUUUCAGUAGCCUUGAAGAGUUACAGAAAGUUUGAUUGACUGCAGAAAAGCACCAAAAAAUGGCUCCCUCCAGUGUACCUGUUAUAAACAAUAGUCUAAAGUAAAACUGUCGAAAAACAGCUAAAUAUAGUUUGGCUGGUGCACUUGAUACAGAUUAUGGCCUAGAUGGUUCAGAUACAUUGCUACAAGCCCUGAAAUGCAGCAUGGAAAUGAUAGUCCUGGAGCUUUUUCCCUGAAUUCAAACUAUGGUAGUUUGGAAGGGGCUGACAGCUGUUCUGUGAACCAGAGUUAACUGAUAAGAUUUACUUCUGAAAGCAAUUUUACCAAGGCCAUUGGCAUGGAGAUGGAGAAGAGAAGAAGAAGAAGAUGUGAAAGUUAUUUGAAAACAGUGGUGGAGACUCCUUUGUACCAAUGAGGAUUGUGUUGAUCAAUUGUAGCCAAUGAAUAAAGUGUAAACUUUGUGUAGUGCGUAAAACACAGCAUGCUGUUGUAAUAAACAGAAAGUAUCCUUCUGAAGUGUGUCACGUCCCUUUGUGUGUCCUAUCUGUCUCAACAGCAACAUGGUACAAGAGUUACAGGAGAGACAGUGAUGCCUAGAGAGGCUGAUCAGGAACAGAGGCUAGACAGUGUUAAAGGCAUAAAGUGGGUAUUUAUUGAAAGACAUUUAAAGGAAACACCUUGGGCAGUACAAGAGCUUGGCCGUGGCUCAGUUGCAU